GUCUCUUGGAAUACGAUAUCUAAUCUUUCUGGUUUAUUACUUAGAACGAUUUUGUACGUUUGUCAAAGAGUUAACACACAUUUCUAAUUAUAGUACUUUAACAUUGAAAUUUUAUUUGGACCCGAACUUUGUGACCUUGCAAGGAGAAAAACCAACCACCACCAGCCCAGCUCAAUUCAAUCAAUUGCGGCGAAUGUAUCACACCAAAUCUAUUGCAUAACCCUUUACCGUACAGGCCACAACCCUAACACCCUCAGUUGGUGCUGACUUGGAUAUACCAAUGGACAAUAAUCUCGACGUAGUUGCUUUGUUGGAAGGUUACAAGGGCAUUUUUGCCCGACUUGCCUCCAAGUCGAG
rnacentral:lncRNA from 1 species